rnacentral:rRNA from 1 species
CCUACGGGCGGCAGCAGUGGGGAAUCUUCCGCAAUGGGCGAAAGCCUGACGGAGCAACGCCGCGUGAGUGAUGACGGCCUUCGGGUUGUAAAACUCUGUGAUCCGGGACGAAAGGGCAGAGUGCGAAGAACAAACUGCAUUGACGGUACCGGAAAAGCAAGCCACGGCUAACUACGUGCCAGCAGCCGCGGUAAUACGUAGGUGGCAAGCGUUGUCCGGAAUUAUUGGGCGUAAAGCGCGCGCAGGCGGCUUCCCAAGUCCCUCUUAAAAGGGCGGGGCUUAACCCCGUGAUGGGAAGGAAACUGGGAAGCUGGAGUAGCGGAGAGGAAAGUGGAAUUCCUAGUGUAGCGGUGAAAUGCGUAGAGAUGAGGAAGAACACCGGUGGCGAAGGCGACUUUCUGGACGAAAACUGACGCUGAGGCGCGAAAGCGUGGGGAGCAAACAGGAUUAGAUACCCGAGUAGUC